rnacentral:lncRNA from 8 species
GGGAUAAAAUCAGGAGUUUGGGAGAGGAGAGGGACAUUUGGGAGCGAGAUGGCGAGUGGGACGGUGGCGUUCCUGUAUGGAUUCCUGCUCCUGUCUCUGUGGAGACCUUCACUGCAAGGAGGUGUGUACAUACCUGCUGGUGUAGGUGAAGGAGCUGGGGCUGGAUUAAGAGCUGGAGGAGCAGGAGGUGUAGGUGGAGCUGGCGCUGGUCCAGGUGGUGCAGGCUUUGGCCCUGGAGCCGGUGGAGGUUACACCAAGCCAGGGAAGACGGGAGCUGGCUAUGGUGGUCAGGUUGUAGGCCAAGGCCAAGGAGGACUGGGGACUGGAGGUCUGGGGGAAAGAAGAGUUAGACCAGAAGGAGCUGGGGCCGGACCAGGAGGUUAUGGACAUGGCGGUGGUUUAGGAGCUAGAGGCCUUGGAGCAGGAGCUGGCAAUGGAGGUCGGAGUCCUGGAGGACAGGGGGCUGGACUAGGAGCUGGAGGUCUGGGAGGAGGAGGUCUUAGACAAGGAGUCAGACCAGGAGGUUAUGGACCAGGUGGAGCUGGGGCUGGACCAGGUGGUUAUGGGCCUGGUGCUGGUCUUAGUCUGGGCGGAGCUGUGGCUGGAGGUCUUGGUGGUGGUUACGGACUUGGCGGUGGUCUAGGUGCCGGAGGCCUUGGAGCAGGAGCUGGAGGAAAGCCAGAGAAGGCAGGAGCUGGCUAUGGUGGUAGAGAUCCUGGAGGACAGGGGGCUGGACUGGGUGUUGGAGGUUUUGGACCAGGUGGCUAUGGACCAGGUGGAGCUGGGGCUGGACCAGGUGGCUAUGGGCUUGGUGUUGGUGUUGGUCCUGGGGGAGCUGGUCCUGGAGUUUAUGGUCAUGGUUAUGGACCCGAUGGAACAGGAGCUGGCUAUGUAGGUCGCAGUCCUGGGGGACAGGGGGCUGGAUUAGGAGCUGGAGGCUAUGGACCAGGUGAAGCUGGACCAGGAGGAUAUGGGCCUGGUUCUGGUGUUGGCCAGGGUGGAGCUGGUCCAGGUGGUUUUGGUGGUGGUCUUGGAGCUGGCGGACAAGGAGACGCCCUUGGAGCUGGGUAUGGAGGCCUCGGAGCUGGGGGACUGGGAUCCAGAGGUUCUGGUCAAGGGGCUGGAGGACUUGGAGCAGGCCAAGGUCUUGGAGCUGGCCAAGGAGAUGGAUACAGACCUGGAGGAGGCUACGGUGGUGCUGCUGGUGGUCUAUACGCUGGAGGGGUGGGGGCAGGCCAGAAACCUCCCAAAACAGGAGCAGGAAGUACACUAGGAGGAGAUGGAUAUGGGCCUGGUGGUGCUGAUGGACAUGGGCCUGGUGGCGCAGGUGGACAUGGGCCUGGUGGCGCAGGUGGACAUGGGCCUGGUGGCGCAGGUGGACAUGGGCCUGGUGGCGUAGGUGGACAUGGGCCUGGUGGCACAGGAACUGGGCCUGGUGGCGCAGGAACGGGACCUAGUGGCGCAGGUGGAUAUGGUCCUGGUGGCGCAGGAACUGGGCCUAGUGGCGCAGGUGGAGUUGGUCUUGGUGGUUUUGGGCCUGGUGGCGCAGCAGUACCAGCUGGAGCACCAGUACUUCCACAGACUGGAGUCCCUGGGGGUGGAGCUAGAGAGAAGAGCGGUUGGAAGGCCAACAAACAAGUGCCAGGUGUUGGAGUACCUGGACUCUAUCAAGGUGGAAUAGUACCUAGUCAAGGUUUCGGAGGGCGUGGGGUUCUACCAGGUGUUGCCACUGGAUCCGGACUUGUUCCCCAGACAGGGGCAGGUGUGCUGAGUCAGGGUGGAGUUGGAGUUGGCACUGGAGCUGGAGGUAAGGGUUUAUCAAACAGAGAGGGACAACAGUGUUAUAAUUGAUUUUAUAAGACGUGAAUAUACAGUGAGCUCCAAGUAUUGAAACAGUGACAUUUUUGUUGUUGUUUUGGUUCUGUACUCCAGCACUUGAAAUGAUAGGAGGUUAACCUCUUAAAGGGCAGACUGUCAGGGCAGACUGUCAGCUUUAAUUUGAGGGUAUUUUCAUCCAUAUAGGGUGAAACGUUUAUAAAUAACAGCACUUUUUGUACAUAGCCCUCCCCAGAUUUACAUGGUUAUCAAAAUGACACAAAGCCUAAACAAAACACAGCCCUUAUUUUAAGUGUCUCUAAAAUCCCCUGUGGGAAAAAUGAAUGGUGGAAAAUCAAUUGGAACCAUUAUUCUCCAUGUUUGACUGCUGGGUUUUAUGGGCAUUAUGACACCUCCCCCAUGGGGAUCUAUUGUGUUCCCUUGAAUAAAUAAAAGUUAAUAAAUGAAUAUUAACACUUUCUAAAGUAUUAUUUUAACACCAGUACAGUAGGAUUCAUAUGUUCACUGAAAAUACUGUAGUGUACAAUUUGCACUUUCAGAGUUAAAGGGCAGAUUGUCAGGGCAGACAGUCAGCUUUCAUUUGAGGGUAUUUUCAUCCAUAUCGGGUGAACCGUUUUAUAAAUAACAGCACUUUUUGUACAUAGCCCUCUCCAUAUUUUAGGGGACCAAGAUUAUUGGGACAAAUUCACUUGCAGUGCAUUUGGAAAGUAUUCGGACCCCUUAUCUUUUUCCACAUUUUGCUACCUUACAGCCUUAUUCUAAAAUGGAUUCAACAAAAAAAAUGUCCUCAUCAAUCUGCACACAACACACCAUAAUGGCAAAGCGAAAAAAUAAUUGAUUAAAAAUCAAAAACAAAAAUACAUUAUUUACAUAAGUAUUCAGACCCUUGGGCAUGAGACUCGAAAUUGGUGCAUCCUGUUUCCAUUGAUCAUCCUUGAGAUGUUUCUACAACUUUAUUGGAGACCAUUUGUGGUAAAUUCAAUUGAUUGGACAUGAUUUGGAAAGGCACACACCUGUAUAUAUAAAGGUCCCACAGUUGACAGUGCAUGUCAGAGCAAAAACCAAGCCAUGAGGUCGAAGGAAUUGCUGUAGCACUCUGAGACAGGAUUGUGUCGAGGCACAGAUCUGGUACCAAAAAAUGUCUGCAGCAUUGAAGGUCCCCAAGACCACAUUGGCCUCCAUCAUUCCUAAAUGGAAGAAGUUUGGAACCACCAAGAUUCUUUCUAGAGCUGGCCUCCCGGCCAAACUGAGCAAUCCUGGGGGAGAAGGCCACUGGUUAGGGAGGUGACCAAGAACCAGAUGGUCACUCUGACAGAGCUCCAGAGUUCCUCUGUGGAGAUGGGAGAUCCUUCCAGAAGAACACACAUAUCUGCAGCACUCCACCAAUCAGGCCUUUAUGGUAGAGUGGCCAGACGGAAGUCAAUCCUCAGUAAAAGGCACAUGACAGCCCACUUGGAGUUUGCCAAAAGGCACCUAAAGGACUCUCAGACCAUGAGAAACAACAUUCUCUGUUCUGAUGAAACCAAGAUUGAACUCUUUGGCAUGAAUACCAAGUGUCACAUCUGGAGGAAACCUGGUACCAUCCCUAUGGUGAUGCAUGGUGAUGGCAGCAUCAUGCUGUGGGAUUUUUUUCAGUGGCAGGGACUGGGAGACUAGUCAGGAUCGAGGGAAAGAUGAACAGAGCAAAGUACAGAGAGAUCUUUAAUGAAAACCUGCUCCAGAAUACUCAGGACCUCAGACUGGGGCGAAUGUUCACCUUCCAACAUGACAACGAUCCUAAGCACACAGCCAAGACAAUGCAGGAGUGGCUUCGGAACAAGUCUCUGAAUGUCCUUGAGUGGCCCAGCCAGAGCCCAGACUUGAACCCGAUCGAACAUCUCUGGAGAGACCUGAAAAUAGCCGUGCAGCAACGCUCCCCAUCCAACCUGACAGAGCUUGAGAGGAUCUGCAGAGUUGAAUGGGAGAAACUCCCCAAAUACAGGUGAGCCAAGCUUGUAGUGUCAUAACCAAGAAGACUUGAGGCUCUAAUCGUUGCCAUAGCUGCUUCAAUAAAGUACUGAGUAAAAGGUCUGAAUGCUUAUGUGAUUAUUUCAGGGGGUUUUUGUAUAAAUUUGCAAACAUUUCUAAAAACCUGUUUUUGCUUGUCAUUAUGGGGUAUUGCGUGUAGAUUGAUGAGGGGGGAAACGAUUUAAUCCAUUUUAGAAUAAGGCUGUAAUGUAACAAUGUGGAAAAAGUCAAGGGGUCUGUAUAUUUUCCGAAUGCACUGUAUAUGUGUAUUAAAGUAGUAAAAACGUACAUUUUUGUUUGAUGCAUUUGCUGUUUGUUUUAGUUGUUUCAGAUUAUUUUGUGCCCAGAAAUGAAUGGUAAAUAAUGUAUUGUGUCAUUUUGGAGUCACUUUUAUUGUAAUAAGAAUAUCAUAUGUUUCUAAACACUUCUAUAUUAAUGUGGAUGCUACCAUGAUUACAGAUAGUCCUGAUGAAUUGUGAAUAAUGAUGAGUGAGAAUGUUACAGAUGCACAAUUUCAUACCCCCCCAACAAUAUAAAAUGCCAAUCUCCCUUGUUGUAAUGGUGAGAUGUUAGCAUGUCUUGGGGGUAUGAUAUUUGUGUGUGUAACUUUCUCACUAUACAUUAUUUACUAUUAAUUUGUAUUGGGCACAAAAUAAUCUGAAACACAACCAAAGCAAACAUACAAAUACAUCCAACAAAUUUGUAAAGUCACAAACUUGAUGUUGCGUGCUAUGAAUAUGGGACCAAAUACUUAACUUUUUACUACUUUAAUACACAUAUCCUGUUAGGGACAGACCCAGUCUUCACUAUGAGUCAUCCAUACAUCAAUUGUCUUAAAACCUCUUACAUCUAGAUGUUCCGCUAGCGGAACGCCUCACCAAUAUCCAAUGGUAUAGAGUGGCGCGAAUUACAAAUACCUCAAAAAUGCAAAAACUUCAAUUUUUCAAACAUAUGACUAUUUUACACCAUUUUAAAGACAAGACUCUCCUUUAUCUAACCACAUUGUCCGAUUUCAAAAAGGCUUUACAACGAAAGCAAAACAUUAGAUUAUGUCAGGAGAGUAGCUUUUCGGUGAAAGCACAUUUUGCAAUAUUCUUAGUAGAUAGCCCGGCCAUCAUGGCUAGCUAUUUUGACACCCACCAAGUUUGGCACUCACCAAACUCAGAUUUACUAUUAAAAAAAUUGGAUUACCUUUGCUGUUCUUUGUCAGAAUGCACUCCCAGGACUUCUACUUCAACAACCAAUGUUGUUUUGGUUCCAAAUAAUCCAUAGUUAUAUCCAAAUAGCUCCGUUUUGUUCGUGCGUUCAAGUCACUAUCCGAAGGGUGACGCGCCGGCGCAUUUCGUGACAAAAAAUUCAAAUAUUCCAUUACCGUACUUCGAAGCAUGUCAAACGCUGUUUUAAAAUCAAUUUUUAUGCUUUUUUUCUCGUAAAAUAGUGAUAAUAUUCCAACCGGGAGACGUUGUAUCCGUUCAAACACUGAAAGUAAAACAUGGAGUCGCCACAUGCACGCGCGGACCAGUGCCAUUGUGCUUAGAAGGACCACUCACCAAAAUCCCUACUGUUUUUCGCCCAGAGACUGCAGAGCUAUCAUACAACGUUCUGGCACCUUCCUAGAGCCAAUGAAAGCCUUAGAAAAUGUCACGUUACAGCAGAGAUCCUGUAUUUUCGAUAAAGAGGCUAUAGAAGGACAAGAAAUGGUCAGACAGGGCACUUCCCAUAUAGAAUCUUCUCAAGUUUUGGCCUGCCAUAUGAGUUCUGUUAUACUCACAGAUACCAUUCAAACAGUUUUAGAAACUUUAAGGUGUUUUCUAUCCAAAUCUACUAAUUAUAUGCAUAUUCUAGUUUCUGGGCAGGAGUAAUAACCAGAUUAAAUCGGGUACGUUUUUCAUCCGGCCGUGAAAAUACUGCCCCCUAUCCCUAACAGGAUAUAAGUGAAUUUGUCCCCAUAGUUUCCGUCCCCUAAAAUGCAGGGACUAUGUACAAGAAGUGCUGUAAUUUCUAAAUGUUCCACCUGCUAUGGAUGAAAAUACCCUCAAAUUAGAAUUGACAGUCUGAACCUUAAAAUCAUCAUAUCAUUUCAAAUCGAAAGUGCUGGAGUACAAUACUUUUGUAGCUCACAGGAUGUACUCUAUAUAAACACUCACCUUGUGCAUUAAUAUACAGGUAACUGGCAAAAUAAAGGAAACACUGAGUAAAUGAGUGUCCCACAAAGUAUAUUGAAAGCAUGUGCUUCCACACAGGUGUGAUUCCUGAGCUAAUUAAGCAAUUAACAUCCCAUCAUGCAUAAGAUCAUUUAUAAAAAUUCCCAGUUGCCCAUUAUUUUGUCUACCAUGGCUAGAAGAAGAGAUUUUGAAAGAGGGGUCUCUAAGGAGCAUAAGAGCAUAGCGUGUGUGUGUCUCAGUUACCAGAUCUCAACCCAAUUGAGCACGUAUGGAGAUUCUGGAGCGUCACCUGACACAGCGUCUUCAACCACCAUCAACAAAACAUAAAAUGAUGGAAUUUCUCGUGAAAGAAUGGUCACAUCCCUCCAAUAGAAUUCAGACACUUGUAGAAUCAAAGCCAAGAUGCAUUGAAGCUGUUCUGGCAGCUCGUGGUGGCCCAACGCCCUAUUAAGACACUUUAUGUUGGUGUUUCCUUUAUUUUGGCAGUUACAUGUACAUUAAUAUAUAAAUAAAUACAUUGUAUAUA